GAUGAACGCUGGCGGCGUGCCUAAUACAUGCAAGUCGAGCGAACAGACGAGUAUCUUCCUCCUCUGACGUUUGCCGCGGACGUGUGUUUUACACGUGUAUAACCUACCUAUUUGACUGUUAUACCUUCGGGAAACCGUUGCUAAUACCUGAUAAUUUAUUUUACCGCAUGGUUCAAUAGUGAACUACGGUUUUUCUGUCUCUUAUUGAUGGUUCCGCGCCGCAUUAGCUAGUUGGUAAGGUAACGGCUUACCAAGGCAACGAUGCGUAGCCGACCUGAGAGGGUGAGCAGCAACACUGGAACUGAGACACGGAACAGAGUACUACGGGAGGCAGCAGUAGGGAAGAGUGGGCAAUGGGCGAAAGCAUGACGGAGCAACGCCGAGUGAGUGAAGAAGGUCUUCGGAUCGUAAAACACUGUUAUUAGGGAAGAAAAAAUGGGUAAGAAAAUAUGCAGGUGAUGACGGUAACGAAAGAGAAAGCAACGGCUAACUACGUG
rnacentral:rRNA from 1 species